rnacentral:rRNA from 1 species
UACGGAGGGGGCUAGCGUUGUCCGAAGUUACUGGGCGUAAAGCGCGCGUAGGCGGCCUUGCAAGUUAGAGGUGAAAGCCCGGAGCUCAACUCCGGAACUGCCUUUAAAACUGCAUAGCUUGAAUCCGGGAGAGGUGAGUGGAAUUCCGAGUGUAGAGGUGAAAUUCGUAGAUAUUCGGAAGAACACCAGUGGCGAAGGCGGCUCACUGGACCGGUAUUGACGCUGAGGUGCGAAAGCGUGGGGAGCAAACAGG